CUAAUUCCGACUAAAGACCAAUUGCAGACGAGAAUUAGAGAGAAAAAAGCUGGCAGAGCCCAUAGAGAGAAAGCGUUUAUAAGAGUCGGCGAUAAAAAAGAGCUUAUAGACCCACCAAGAAUUCCAGAGAAAGAAUUCAAGGAGCUAGAGAGAAUCUCACUUUAGACCUCUAAGGAACUCGAAUUAAGAAA
rnacentral:sRNA from 10 species